CGCCUUUUAUAAGUUUUUUGGAAGAGAAACGAUUCAAAUCAGCAUUAAUGAUUGACAAGUGAGUGAGACACGUGUCUCUCUAGGAUUACAUAGUGGAGCGGUAGUAAUUAAUGCCUAAUCCCAUGAUCUCCUAGAGUCUAGGAAACAUGAUGAUUAAAAAGAUUUGGGUAUGGGUUGAAAAGAUAUGUUAGGAAAAGGGUAAUGAUGGUGCUAACAUCACAAGCAAGCUAGAAGAAACUAAACGGAUUUGUAACGUUGGGGCAUUGGUAACAUGUAAC
rnacentral:lncRNA from 1 species